rnacentral:rRNA from 1 species
UGGGUAGUCCGUACGAGCGCACCUUGUCCCUAGUUGCCAGCACUUCGGGUGGGAACUCUAGGGAGACUGCCGGUGAUAAACCGGAGGAAGGUGGGGAUGACGUCAAGUCAUCAUGGCCCUUAUGGGGAGGGCUACACACGUGCUACAAUGGCCGGUACAGAGGGCAGCGAAGCCGCGAGGUGGAGCGAAUCUCAGAAAACCGGUCGUAGUCCGGAUUGCAGUCUGCAACUCGACUGCAUGAAGCCGGAAUCGCUAGUAAUCGCGGAUCAGAACGCCGCGGUGAAUACGUUCCCGGGCCUUGUACACACCGCCCGUCACACCAUGGGAGUGGGCUGUAUCAGAAGUAGGUAGUCUAACCUUCGGGAGGACGCUUACCACGGUGUGGUUCAUGACUGGGGUGAAGUCGUAACAAGGUAGCCCUAGGGGAACCUGGGGCUGGAUCACCUCCUUU